UAAGAUAUGCAGAGAACAGUUUGCAGCUCUACAUAGUCAACCCAUCCUUGAAAACUUGUCAGAAUUUUUGGUACAGAAGUUUGGAUUCCCUGAACAUGAAUUAACAGAUGAUGGCACAACUUCUGAUAUGGCAAAAAAGAGAUUAAAUGAAACUCUGUCUAAGAUUCCCAAGAAAGGAACAUUUCAAGUUGAAAAAGUUUUGAGUUCAACGUAUUUCUUCAGCUGAGGUUGGAACAGCAAGUAAAAUACCCUGAAGAUUUCAUUCUAUCAUUCUGUUAAAUUUAUUUGUAACAUCAUGAUGUUUGGUAAAUACUAUUUAUAAAGUUGUUUUACACUACAUGGAUACAUUAGAUAUGUACAAAAGUAAAGUAAGAUUGUUCAAUGAAUCAGUUUCAUUUUAUCUUUCUUUUAUUUAUAUAUGUGCAUUUAUUGAAUAUCAUUUUCACACCAUCAUUCAGCAUUUAGAGGAAGAGGCAAGAUAUUUAAUGACUUAUUUGUUUGCGACAUAAAUUGAGCAAAAUGUAAGAGAAAUAACACUUUACCUAGUUCUGUUUGUAAUAAAUCAGACUCAGGAAAUGCUCAGUUGUUUAUUUUCGAUAAAUAACAGUAAAAAGUUAAAAAUAACAUAUGUUGUAUUGUCUUGCAUCUCAAGAACCGAGUUAUACAGUUGUUCCGAAGAAAACAACUGUGUAAUAUGCCUAAUUUUCAAAGUGAGAACAUUAAACUUAUAUGAUAGGUGUAUCAAUUCUUAUAGAAUGCGAUAUACUUAAACUCAUGUAAACAAAUUAAACAGUGAGUUGAAAUUAAAAAUAUUAUUGUUUUUCAAGUGUACAAGACCUAUACAGAAUACUGGUAUAUAAACUAUACUGCUUUGUGAUUUCUUCUUCAAUUUGAAUAGAAAAAAAGGAGAAUUUCGACUGCACAAAUUAAACAU